rnacentral:rRNA from 1 species
UACGUAGGGUGCAAGCGUUGUCCGGAAUUAUUGGGCGUAAAGAGCUUGUAGGCGGUUUGUCGCGUCUGCUGUGAAAUUUCGGGGCUCAACCUCGAGACGCCGGUGGAAACCGUUUGGCUAGAGUCCGGAAGAGGAGAGUGGAAUUCCUGGUGUAGCGGUGAAAUGCGCAGAUAUCAGGAAGAACACCCGUGGCUAAGGCGGCUCUCUAGUACGGUACUGACGCUGAGACGCGAAAGCGUGGGGAGCGAACAGG